ensembl:rRNA 5S_rRNA 5S ribosomal RNA
AUCUAUGGCUAUACCACCCUGAAUAAUGCACCCGAUCUUGUCUGAUCUUUGAAGCUAAGUAGGGUCAGGCCUGAUUAGUACUUGGAUGGGAAACCACCUGGAAAUACCAGGUGCUGUAGGCU